UCUAGAUAGGCAGGCUUUGAUCCUACAAAAUUUUAGUUAACAGCUAAACACCCAAACCAGCGGGCUUCUAUCC
rnacentral:tRNA from 1 species